UACGAAGGGGGCUAGCGUUGCUCGGAAUUACUGGGCGUAAAGGGUGCGUAGGCGGGUCUUUAAGUCAGAGGUGAAAUCCUGGAGCUCAACUCCAGAACUGCCUUUGAUACUGAGGAUCUUGAGUUCGGGAGAGGUGAGUGGAACUGCGAGUGUAGAGGUGAAAUUCGUAGAUAUUCGCAAGAACACCAGUGGCGAAGGCGGCUCACUGGCCCGAUACUGACGCUGAGGUGCGAAAGCGUGGGGAGCAAACAGGG
rnacentral:rRNA from 1 species